AUAAAUCCAAGAAGUUUAUGAAGAAGGGAUCACUGGAUUUUGUCACUUUGGUACAAGAAACAGAAAAGGAUAUCAUAGACCACCUUACUUAUACGGAAGCAUAGGAGCUGUUGAAGGAAAUUGCUGCCAGACAGUCAGCAGUUAUCACUGACAGCCUGUCCUGGCCCAGCUUGGACCAUCCUCAAGCUAACCAUGAUGGUGUGUUUGCAAGAAUUGUCCAUUUGGUAGACCAUGAUGAAGACCAGCUUUGUUGUGGCAUGGCCUGACAAUACUGUACAAGCCAGAGACCAAAAAAGGGUUAAGUGGUGACUGAUCCUCUCACCCUCCUUAUCCAGGAAACAUUUCGGAACAACGUGUUGGCACUGAAGAUGUGGAGGACACAGAUUGAUCACAGUACAUCCUUUGGAUACAUGGACACCUUCAACGUGACGACAACAAAACUGUACCUGCCUUUUUUUUUGAAAGGAAGUAGUUAAUAAAAUUAUUGUUAACAGCUUUUUUAGU